rnacentral:tRNA from 1 species
AUCUGUAGCUCAGUUGGUAAAGGCGUCAGCUUGCAAUCAGGAGAUUGCAGGUUCAAUCCCUGGUAGCGACU